rnacentral:lncRNA from 1 species
UAGUGACACGUUUUGGCCACAUUGGCCAGAGAAUCUGCCCCUCCAUCAACACAAUCAGAAAGGGAGGAAAUAAGCCCAGUUGUUGCAAUAAAUUUCUUCAAUGAUUCUAGAUAUCAGCAAACAGCUACUUCACAUAGGCCUACUUCAGACAAACUUCAGGACCUCAUUCUCUGACCAGUCAGGGCAAGUUAUUUCAUCCAUAAUUCUUUCGCAUUCAUGACUCUUCUUAACAGCAAGCCACAGAUAUUAUACAGAACUAAUCCAAGACGUGCUGUUCAUCCCAUCAGAAUUCUCUGCUUAACAUAUAUUCAAUCUCAGGGAGAAAAAGUAAUCAUUAUAUUGCCUGGCAGGUAGGAAAGCAGGAAACUAAGAAUGCAAACAUGAACAUUUGCUAUCAGUUAACGACUGUAACUAUUUGCUCUCCAUCACUCUUCUGCCUCUCAUGGAAUUUUCAUACAUAUGAUGAGAGAAUCAAAAUGACUCCAGAAACUUCAGUGAUCUGUCACAUACUGCAAGUGUGAACAAGUCAAAAUGAUCAAUGUUUGAACAUGACAUGUGAUGGUAAUUGACACAACAAGGAAAGUUUUUACCCAUACUGAAUAAUUAACAAUAAUCAAUACAUUGGCAUGACUGAUUCAUAAAAAAAAAAAAAAAAAAAAAAAAAAAAAGCCAUAUUCUUUGAAUCAAUCAUUUAAUGUGACUAGUUCUGUCAUAUCAAACUGCAGUGCUGCAAUGUCAGUGUACACAUGAGCAUUGAUUUCCAUCAAGCAUUUAAUGAAACUUUACAGCAUAGUUAGGUUGCUGAUGUUUGUUGAUUCAUUAAAAAAGUCCAAAGGCUACUUUUCAGACUGCAGUCACAAAUGCCAUCUUCCAGCUCAAACAACAGGCCUAAGUUCAAAAACAACAUGCCAAAGAGCAGCAGUUUUCAGCGAAAUGCAAGAGACUGGUGUGACUGUGCAGCUGUAUGGCUUCCUCUGUAGUUGGAUUUUCUAGAUUUAUUAAAAGUUCAGAGAAGAUGAAUAGCAUGUUUUACAGAAUUGCAUGUUAAAAUAUAUAGUUGGUCAUAUAUAACGAAGAUCUCUGGCAGAGUAUUCAUUGUAAAACACAGCUUGUCUGUGGUUUCCUUGCUUUCAGGUGCUCUGUUUUUUCUCCUUGCUGACCAUUUCGACAUUCCUUUCAGCUUUUCCAGAUUAAACAUCAUAUUUAAUCUAAGGAUCAGUGUUUGGCAUCAUCUGGGUAAACUAUCUUUUAUGUAUCUUUUUCAUAGAUGCAUUACCAAUUAAACAAAUCG